rnacentral:rRNA from 1 species
UCGAGAGUUUGAUCCUGGCUCAGAUUGAACGCUGGCGGCAUGCCUUACACAUGCAAGUCGAACGGCAGCACGGGUGCUUGCACCUGGUGGCGAGUGGCGAACGGGUGAGUAAUAUAUCGGAACGUACCUUAUCGUGGGGGAUAACGCAGCGAAAGUUGCGCUAAUACCGCAUACGCCCUGAGGGGGAAAGCGGGGGACCGUAAGGCCUCGCGCGAUUAGAGCGGCCGAUGUCUGAUUAGCUUGUUGGUGAGGUAAAAGCUCACCAAGGCGAUGAUCAGUAGCUGGUCUGAGAGGACGAUCAGCCACACUGGGACUGAGACACGGCCCAGACUCCUACGGGGAGGCAGCAGUGGGGGAAUAUUGGGGCAAUGGGGCGAAAGCCCUGAUGCAGCAACGCCGCGUGAGGGAUGAAGGCCUU